AAAAACCUGAUAUUAUUUGCAAAAUGGAGACGAGUGCAGAGCAAAGAUGGAGAGAAUUUGCAGAGAGGAAGAAGAAAAGAGAAGAAAAUGGUGGAGAGAAAAUACUGCUGCAGAGGAAGAAGAGAAAAUGAGAAGAAGGAUGAAGGUGAUGCGGAAAAAGGAGAGGAAGAGCCGAAGGGUGUUUAUUUCAAAUGCUUCAGGACCUGCACAACACAGGUCAUGCUCCACUUUUCCUGACGGAGCGUAGUUUUCUGUGCGUAUUACACUGCUCCCGUGGCACGGAUCAGCUUGUUCGGCACUAUAAGUGCCGAACAAGCUCAGUAAGGCAGAGUUUGACACCCAUGGUGUCGAACAAG
rnacentral:lncRNA from 1 species